rnacentral:rRNA from 1 species
GGGUUGUGAGGUUAAGCGAAUAAGCGUACACGGUGGAUGCCUAGGCAAUCAGAGGCGAUGAAGGACGUGCUAAUCUGCGAAAAGCGUCGGUAAGGUGAUAUGAACCGUUAUACC